GGAUGGUCACCUGCGAACCGACUUUUUUUCCUGGUUAGUAGAGUGUGGGGUCAUCAAAGGUCGUGCGGUCAUCGAUGAACUGAAAACAGGAAAAAAACGUCAAGAAAGGCAGAAAAAAUAAAGCAUCCCUACAGCAUCCCAAGACGUGAAACCAAAAGCCCUUCCAUUCUUCUCCCUCCCUCUCUUUCUCUCCAUCUUACUCCUUCCCUCUCUCUUUCUCCACGCGGGACACAAGACGACAAGCAACACCAAAGCCUCGUACGUUGCUAUGAAAAAUCACGCCCUCGACCCGCCUGACACUUUGCACCGCGGGAACGAGCCGCCACAGGUCUCGGCGUCGACUGGGAGGAGACGUGCAGGUUCCUGCUAUGGAGACCCCAAGAUUCGACCAAUGACCUCGAGGAAGAAGAGUUGGAAGAGGAGCAGAAUGUGGGAGGAAAUAGCAAGGGAGGACGGCAGACAGAGCUUCCUAAGGGAGGGCAGCAAAUCACCUUAAAGGAUAACCAUUAAGCUGAGGCCGAGUCCUCCACCACACACAGAGGGCUUAGGCCCGUCCACACACUGGUAAACAAACACGACAAGCCUACGCUUCAACCAGCCUGCAGACCCACCGACAUACCGACCGACAGAACCAAACACAUUCGACAAUAAGAAAAUCACUCUGUAGAUGACCAUGAUUUAUUAUUUAAAAACACACGUUCAUUUAGGAAGAUUCUAAAGCUUAGCUUUUAAGGUCAGUGUGAUGUUGAAAGAGAUGUAAACGAAGAGGAAGAAAUAAAAUGAGAUAAAAGUAUAAAAAUAUAAAUGAAGACAAAGAGAGAGGGGUGUACAGCAAAGCUCAUAAAGGAAAAAAAGAAGGAAAAGGAAUUUUACAAUUAUGAGAAAAGGAGAAACGGAAAUGACGGCACGAGGGAAGGGUUGGAAGGGGAAUGUUUGCUAGAAAGAGGAGAGACAGAAAGGAAAAGGAGGGGAGAGGGCUGGAGACAGACAGAUAGAUAAAAAUAGAUAGAUAUAGAUAGAGAUAAAGAGGGAGGGGAGGUUAUGUUGUGAACUUCCCUAUUCAUCCUCUUUCCUUUCCUUCCCUUCAUUUUUCCUUUCUCUCCCUCCCUCUCUCCUCCCCCUUGAGUGGCGCCCCCUUACGCUGAGCCUCUUGUUCCCCGCCGAAGCUUAGGACUGAACACACACACACACACACACACACACACACACACACA